rnacentral:rRNA from 1 species
GACGAACGCUGGCGGCGUGCCUAAUACAUGCAAGUUGAGCGCUGAAGGUUGGUACUUGUACCAACUGGAUGAGCAGCGAACGGGUGAGUAACGCGUGGGGAAUCUGCCUUUGAGCGGGGGACAACAUUUGGAAACGAAUGCUAAUACCGCAUAAAAACUUUAAACACAAGUUUUAAGUUUGAAAGAUGCAAUUGCAUCACUCAAAGAUGAUCCCGCGUUGUAUUAGCUAGUUGGUGAGGUAAAGGCUCACCAAGGCGAUGAUACAUAGCCGACCUGAGAGGGUGAUCGGCCACAUUGGGACUGAGACACGGCCCAAACUCCUACGGGAGGCAGCAGUAGGGAAACUUCGGAAAUGGACGAAAGUCUGACCGAGCAACGCCGGGGGAGGGAAGAAGGUUGUCGGAUCGUAAAACUCUGUUGGUAGAGAAGAACGUGGGUGAGAGUGGAAAGCUCAUCAAGUGACGGUAACUACCCAGAAAGGGACGGCUAACUACGUG